rnacentral:rRNA from 1 species
AUGCCCGCUGUCCUUGUCAAUGACGCACUUCACUUCCUACUUGGCUACAACAAUGAUGAUGAUCGUGUAAAAAUUCUCAAGUACAGCUUGAGCUCUGAUUCUUUGUCAUUGAUUGAUGCGCCACUUGCCGAGUCUGUCGUUUUUCGUGGCCCUAUCCUCAUGGCGAUGAAGGAUGGCAGUUUGGGCUUUGCACAUGUGAACAGCAGGUUAACCCUCUGCGUGUGGUCUAAGCAGAUACAGUUCGACGGAGUUGCGUCAUGGACUCCUGUUAGAGUGGUGGAUCUCAAGAGCCUUCUCCCUAUUAAAAAUCCCAAGAGAAUACUUAGAUUGAUUGGAUCUGUGGAGGGCAGUGAUAUCAUUUUCGUGAACACGGAUCUUGGCGUCUACGAGAUUGAUCUCCAAACACUAGAGUGGAAGGAGCGAAUGAAGAGAGAAAACCUCCAUUCUUUGAUUCCGUACGUGAGCUUCUACAAUCCGCCAGAAAGGGUGAUCCUUGGUGGUGCGGCAAAUUAA